AAUGAACGCUGGCGGCAUGCCUUACACAUGCAAGUCGAACGGCAGCAUGACCUAGCUUGCUAGGUUGAUGGCGAGUGGCGAACGGGUGAGUAAUGCAUCGGAACGUGCCUUUUAGUGGGGGAUAACGUAGCGAAAGUUACGCUAAUACCGCAUAUUCUCUGAGGAGGAAAGCAGGGGACCUUCGGGCCUUGCGCUAGAAGAGCGGCCGAUGUCGGAUUAGCUAGUUGGUGAGGUAAAGGCUCACCAAGGCAACGAUCCGUAGCGGGGCUGAGAGGAUGAUCCGCCACACUGGGACUGAGACACGGCCCAGACUCCUACGGGAGGCAGCAGUGGGGAAUUUUGGACAAUGGGCGCAAGCCUGAUCCAGCCAUGCCGCGUGAGUGAAGAAGGCCUUCGGGUUGUAAAGCUCUUUCGGCUGGGAAGAAAUCGCACCCUCUAAUACAGGGUGUGGAUGACGGUACCAGCAUAAGAAGCACCGGCUAACUACGUG
rnacentral:rRNA from 1 species